GUUGCUGCCUGUGAGAGGUGUGCUCGUACACUUGCUUCAUCUCUUGGCAGAUGAGGGAGGAGAACGCAAACCAUUAAUGAUCAUGCUACACCGAGAAAAUGAUACUUUGGGAUUCAAUAUUAUAGGAGGACGACCCAAUCAGAAGAAUCAGGAGGAGUCUGCUGAGGGAAUUUAUGUGUCAAAGAUUUUGGAAAAUGGACCUGCAGACAAAGCAGAAGGCCUGCAAAUUCAUGACAAGAUUAU